rnacentral:tRNA from 1 species
GCGUUGGACUUAAGUUCCAAUGUACGAAUGUACGCGUGGGUUCGAACCCCACUCCUGGUA